UAGGCCCCAGAGAUCCGAAGCUGCGGAUGGACAAACCGCCAAAGCACUUUCACUCCUUCUCGAGAGGGAGAUAGCGAGCGAGAAAAAGAAGCAAGAUGGCGGCUAGCCAGCCCCUACGUACGACGUCAUGCGGCGGCGUACGUAAGGCAAAUCCCCGCAAGACCGCCCCCCGGCGCAGAGACGGCCGGAUCACGUGAGGUCUCCGUGGCGACCCAACCCCGACGGAAGGUGACGGCGCCGCUUGCUGGACCGAGGGAGUUCCUGCGAUCAGAGCUCAAGAUGCAGGGUGAAGAUUUCGCCUGAGAUCUCUCCAGGAACUCUUUAAGAGACCGCAAUUACAGAUGAAUGGAUAAAGAAGAUGUGGCACAUAUAUACAAUGGACUAUUACUCAGCCAUAAAAAGGAACGAAACUGAGUUAUUUGUAGUGAGGUGGAUGGACCUAGAGACUGUCAUACAGAAUGAGGAUUAUGAAUCAUCCUUGGGACCUGUGUUUCAUUCUCAACCGAGGAGAUGGAGAGAAUCCGCGCUGCCCCUUCUGAGGGAGACUCUUUCAGCGUCACCUGGAACCAUGACCAUUUUAAAGGCCCAAGUCAGAGCCCUAGCUGGAUUUUCCAACCUCUCCCAUUGAACUGCAGCA